AUGCACCACGCGGCCACUGCGGUUCUGAGCGCGUCGUCCGCGCCCACCUGACCGCGGCUCGCUACUCUUUGUUCGCC
rnacentral:sRNA from 1 species